rnacentral:tRNA from 1 species
GCAUCAGUAGCUCAGCGCCAGAGCACCGGCCUUGUAAGCCGUCCGCCGGAGGUUAGAAUCCCCCCUUUUGCU